rnacentral:misc_RNA from 1 species
GCGCUAACAUCCGGUAUUGCUGGUUACACUGCGACGUCCUUCUAUUUGCAACUAGAAGGGACCAAUUGGGUGAGAAAUCUAUUGUUGACUGGUUGCCUAUUCUGCGGGCCUCUCUUCUUGACAUUUUGCUUCCUUAACACCGUUGCUAUAGCCUAUAGUGCUACUGCAGCUUUACCCUUUGGGACUAUCCUUGUAAUUGUUCUCAUCUGGACCCUGGUGACUUCUCCUUUGCUUGUAUUGGGUGGUGUUGCGGGUAAGAAUGGUAAG